rnacentral:rRNA from 1 species
UACAGAGGGGCUAGCGUUAUUCGGAAUUAUUGGGCGUAAAGGGCGCGUAGGCGGCCAUGCGUGUCUUCCGUGAAAUCCCUCGGCUUAACUGAGGACGUGCGGAAGAAACUGCAAGGCUCGGAGUCCGGGAGAGGGGGUGGAAUUCCCAGUGUAGCGGUGAAAUGCGUAGAUAUUGGGAGGAACACCGGUGGCGAAGGCGGCCCCUGGACCGGAACUGACGCUGAGGCUGGCGAAAGCGGAUGGGUAGCAAACGGGGAUUAAGA